GGUGCCCGUUUGUUUCCGUAUUUCCUCCGAGACGAGGCGUCCGACGUUCGCCUCGGAGCUCUCUCGUUUGUUUAUUUUUUCGUUUUUUUUUUUUACAUUUUUUCUUUCCCCGUCGUAAAAAUAAGUUUAAAUAAUUCCAAAAAAAAAAAAAAAAACAAAUAAAUUGAUAAAAAAAUCUAGACAAUUCAAAAAAUCGUUCGAUCGCCAUACAGGAAACAGGAAUAUUUCUACUAUUGUUUUAUAUGUGAUAUUAUAACAUUGUUAUUAACUACCGGAACUGAUAACUUCAUAAUAUAGUCAAUUUACCGCGGGCACGCGCGCGUGUGUGAAUGUUUUUUAAGAAGUAUAUAUAGGUAAGUCGGCCGGGAUAUAUCAAUAAAUAUAUACCAUAUAUAUGUAUAUGUUCAUGCGAUAACUUCGCAUUGUCAUCUAACACCCACAUAUAUACGUCGCGAUGUGAUCAUGACGACAGUGAAACGAAAAGCGUCAUUAUAACUUUAAAGCACACACACACACACACACACACACACGGUGCGUGGUGCGGACGGGCGACGGCGGCGGCGGCGGAAUCGCGUGCGAAGGGAUUUCCGUGGUAUCCGUGGCGUGCGAGACCGGCGGGCUAGAGGGAGGGAUCAAUACGUGCGAAGAGGGGACCGGCGGCGGUGACGUCAAGUCACGCGCUUCCCGUGACGUCAUGAUACCGACGCCGCCGUGACCGGGUCACCGGGAUGAAUAAUGAUCGGCGCAGACGACGGCCGUUUUACCGUACGUGCGUGUACACUGUCAUACACCUAUACCUACCUAUAGACGCUUCAAAUGUCGGGUAAAGUCGCGGGCGCCGUUGUUCGCCGCCGCCGCCGCCGCCGCCGCUCGGCCGUUGGCCUCUGCAGCGUAAUAGCAUACCGCAUACCGUGUAUAUGAUAAUAAUAACGUUAUCGUCUCGCCACGCGCGGUUGCAGACGUGGUUCGGUGGCGAGCCGGGCCGGGGCCAUGGACAGGGCCGACCGGCUAGCCCGGAGCUUGGAGUUGGAGAAGGCCUACGUGCACGACACAUACCAGGAGAUGUACCAGCCCGCGCACAAGACCAAACCGUGGCCGAAGGUGACGCAGUUCCUGCACGACUUGGAGCCCGGUUCACUGGUGUGCGACAUCGGUUGUGGUACAGGAAAAUAUUUGUCGACCAACCCGCAUGUGUUCAAAGUAGGGGUUGAUCGUUGCCUGAGGUUAACUGAAAUAGCUAGAAGUCGAGACAGCGAAGUAUUGGUGUGUGACAAUCUAACCUUGCCUUUCAAAGACUGUAGUUUAGAUGCGGUAUUAUCUAUAGCUGUUAUUCAUCACUUUUCGACAACAGAAAGACGUGUGUGUGCUUUACGAGAACUAGCCAGGGUACUUAGAAUUGGUGGUCGUAUAAUAAUUACAGUGUGGGCCAUGGAACGACGCCAUAGAAAAUUUGAAUCUCAAGAUGUUCUAAUGCCUUGGCAUAAACCCUGUAGAAAUUUAGAAAGUGAAUCGACAGAAUUUUCUACAACCACAACCACGUCUGAUGAAGAAUACAUUAGUACGAGAAAAAAAUCCAAUUCCGAUUCAACAACGAGUACCAAAAUGUGUUGUGAAAGAAAAAAUAAGCGUAAAGAACAAUCAAAUUUGAGAAAAGGAAUAACGAGUUCCCCGAGUAGUUCUAGUUUAUCAAGUCCAGGGACUGAAACUUGUUAUAGCUUUGUUCGGAAAGCAAUACAGAAGCUUGCCGGUUCAACUAAGCGAGGUAAAGUAUCAUCAAAACCUUGGUUUGUUAGUUCUUGGACUUCACUUUAUGGUACUGAAAUGCCGCCAGUACUGCGUUCGGAUCCCGAAGGAUGUGAGACUUGUAACGAAGACGUACUAAAUGUUCCUAUAGAACUUAGACGAAUGGAAGAUUCACCAGACUCGAUACCGCUAUUCAAUCGAACUCCUACGCACAAGUCAAAGAGUUUAAGCGAUAUCAAAAACACAGCGGAAAAACGGAUGGUACGAUCGAGGUCAAGUAUACCGGAAUUGGAAAAAUCAAUGCCACUAACACAUUCAAAGCCUAAAUUAGUAAAACAAAAACAAUCGUUAUGUGAUGAAGAUGCAGAAGAAGAUAGAGAUAAAGCUACUGACAUGAAAGAUUUGGUUAAUAAGUUACCUCAAUUUGAUGUUUGCAGUGGUUCAAGAAGAUAUAGAUAUAAAAGUAAUGAAAUCAAACAAAGAUCUAUGAAUGAAGAACUUAUGUCAGUAGAAAGGCUCAAAGAAAAAGAAAUCGUACAAAAGAACAUCCAGAGGCAAGCAUCGUUAAAUGAAGAGCUUAUGUAUAGCACACGCACUUUGGAAUCUAUUAAAGAUACAUUACAAUUGCUCAAAACAGGAUUCACAAAAACGUUUAAAAAUCCAUCCAGUCAGGUAUCUGACAACAUUAAAAGUGGACUUAGUAGAAUGCUAGGGUAUAAGGAAGGUUGUGAGGAAAAGGUUAGUGAUGAAAAAAAAAUAGAAAUGCCAGUUCCCGCAUUGGUAACAACAACGUGUUGUGACGGACGUAGAAGUUCCCGUGAAGAUGGGUCUUCGGAAGAUUCAUCAAAAGAUAGUCUACAGAGUGAUGCUAGUGUUGACUCUGAGGACAGUCUGAGUAGUUUAGCAUCUGUUAUAUUUGUUAAUGCCACCGGUGGAUCUGACAAGACAUGUUCUCCACCAUUAGUCGAACAACAAGCACGAACAGCUCCGUGCACACCCACUGCUAAAUCUCAAAGUCAAUACAGGUCAUCUUCACACCCAAACACGCCAAAAACAGCGCCUAUACACCCAUCUCAUUUUAAAUUACCAGCUAGGUUCAACUCUCAAAAUGGAAAUGAACCGUAUCAGUUAAAUUUAUCAGCAGAACAACAAGUUGACGAUAUUUUGAAACCAAUCAAAUUAUCACCUGUGAAAACAGCUAUUGAAAUGAAGCUUAAAAGAGAACAAGAAAAAGAUCAAGAAUUAGAACGUAGAGAUCAUGUUUGUGAAGGUGGAGAUCAUAAUGCACGGCCUAAAGAAAGAAUUAGUGCAGAAAAGCUUAAACAAAUUCAAGAUCUUCUUUUAAAUACUAAACCAGUAACUGGACGUAAUCGUCUACCAAAAGCAGAUCGAACUUUUUCUGGUUUACGAGGGAGACACUUCAUUAAAACAGUUGAAGAAACAUUUCAUCCAGAAAUAGACGAUGUAGAUAGUGAUGCUGAAUCAUCAUCCUCUGAUUCUGUUAGCAGUGUUAUAAGUGUAGUAGUGGAAGAUGAACGCAAAAUUACAGACAUCGAGUUAGAAGAAUCUUUUGACGUAAAAACACCUACAAGAACUGAGUAUGAAAUUCCAACGGAAUGUAGUAAUUUAGAACAAGCAUGUUCUUUAGAAUCUGCCGUAAUUACAAAAGAUUCGAACAAUAAAGAAGAUCUUAACCCUAAAAAAGAUCCCAACCCUAAAGAAAAUCCCAGCCCUAAAGUAGAUACCAGUCCGAAAGAAAACAUCAGUCCAAAAGAAGAUCCCAGACCGAAAGAAGAUCUCAACCCGAAAGAAGAUCCCUGCCCGAAAGAAAAUCCUAGCCCCAAAAAAGAUCCUAGUCCAAAAGAAGAUCACAACUUAACAGAAAGUCCUAAUCCAAAUGAAGACCAUAACCUUAAAGAUGAUCAACCAAAUCAUACUAACCGGUGGAGUCUGCAAGAGCAUCCAAACAAAGGCACGGCAGUUCGAAACAGUCCAAGUCUCGGUUCAAUACCAAAACAUAAAAGGGCUAGUAAGUGUUCUAAAGACGAGCUUUCAGAUUUGCCUGAAACGUGGGACGAGGAAUGUCAAAAGCAUCUCGUGGACUUUGCUGAAAGAUUAAACAAAGAACUGCGUGCGGCAAUAGGAAUGGAGCCAACAGAAGAACCAAAGAAGGCACGCGAUGAUGUAGUAGAUAAACCUGAAAAAGUUGAGCUGAUGCAAUAUCUGCACCAACUUAUGCGACCCGACGAAAUAUUGUCGGACCCGUCAUCUUCCGACGGACAGCCAGAGGAAGAACCACUGGACUACCACCGAAUCGAAAUACUGGCCGGAUCCGAGGCGCCUCGCCGGCCCAGCAUUUCCGUUGAGACACAAGACUCUGUAGACAAGGUCCUACGGAGCCGUGAAGGGUUCCGGUCGCGGCUCUAUCGUAAGUCAGUGGAGUCAGCCGAAGACCGGCACGCGUCCCUGGAGCUAGAGUGUGACUCGAGGCGCGACACGGUUUCCAGUAGCCAGGUAUCGCUUCUUCGACCUGGUAACUCACUUGAAUCUAACGAUACUGCAGACACACACACCACUACGCAGAGUACGACUUCACUGACAUCGUGGAGUGACUGUAGUAAGGACACAAGGUUCGCGGAUCGGAGACAGGCGCGGUGCGAUGGCCGAUCGUCGUCGGAGGAAACAGAUCCUAGGCGGGCCGCCGUCCUGGUCCGUCAGCACGCAGCCGUCGAGAUCCAGGAAACGUCCAAGAGCGACGACACGUGCAGCUUAUCCACCUCACAAGAAUCUCUGUCUGAACACGGUGGUGGAUCUAUAACGUUCCACAGAUACUACCACGUGUUUAGAGAGGGUGAACUCGACCAGCUGAUAGAGAAACAUGCUGAUAAUUUACACAUUAUUUCUUCGUAUUAUGACCAAUCAAAUUGGUGCGUUAUCGCCGAAAAAGUACAGGUGUGGACUAUUUAGUGAUGCGUUUGAAAAGAACAUUUUUCACUAAGAUUUUUAAAAUAAUUUCAAAACCGUCUAGAUGUAUGUCAGUGGCGUGGCUACCAAAGGGGCAACAGAUGCAGCUGCCUCGGGGCGUAAACAUUUUUUUGAGGCAAAAAUAUUUGUAGGUGCGCCCUUAUGUGUAAUUAUACCGCUGAUGUGUGUAUAUAUUACAUGUAUUCACAUAUAUAAUAUAUACUGUUUUUGGAUGACAAUUGUACGAAAAUACAAUUUUCAUUUCA